AUUGAACGCUGGCGGCAGGCCUAACACAUGCAAGUCGAGCGCGCGGCGGACGGGUGAGUAAUGUCUGGGAAACUGCCUGAUGGAGGGGGAUAACUACUGGAAACGGUAGCUAAUACCGCACACCACAAGAUGUGCCCAGAUGGGAUUAGCUAGUAGGUGGGGUAACGGCUCACGUAUGCGACGAUCCCUAGCUGGUCUGAGAGGAUGACCAGCCACACUGGAACUGAGACACGGUCCAGACUCCUACGGGAGGCAGCAGUGGGGAAUAUUGCACAAUGGGCGCAAGCCGGAUGCAGCCAUGCCGCGUGUAUGAAGAAGGCCUUCGGGUUGUAAAGCACGUUCAGCGGGGAGGCGUUACCCGAAGAAGAAGCACCGGCUAACUCCGUGCCAGCCGCCGCGGUAAUAC
rnacentral:rRNA from 1 species